GAAUAAAGUUUCAACUAUAAGGAUAUAAAAUAUCUGAACCCGAAGGAUACCUAAUUUUUUCGAGUAUUCAGCAGUUUUGAAAUUAUAUACCCGAACCGACACGAACCCGAUUAGACCUGAACCAAAACCAAACCGAUACUUUAGAUUUACCCUAUUAAAUGCUAAACUUCUUUACUCGAAAGACACAUACCCGAUCGGAUUUUACCCGAUCGGAUUUUACCUGAACCUGACCAGCAUACCCGAAUACCCAGCCCUAAUUUCAGUAAUUAAAGAGAAAGAAACCCAAAGCAUAAUAGCGACUGAGUAUAUCAUGUAAUGUGUUAUAUCCCUCACAUGCAACCAAAGCAUGAUAUUGACUGACUAGCGAGCAUAUAUUAAAAUGGAAAUCUAUGGUAUAUGGCAUAAUAUCGAAAAUCUAGUAUUAAAGAAGAAAAACAACAAAAAAA
rnacentral:sRNA from 1 species